AAAUUGAAGAGUUUGAUCAUGGCUCAGAUUGAACGCUGGCGGCAGGCCUAACACAUGCAAGUCGAACGGUAACAGGAAGCAGCUUACUGCUUCCUUUGUGAAGUGGCAGUUGGGUGAUAAUGUCUGGGAAACUACCUGAUGGAGGGAUAACUUUACUGAGCGGUGGCUAAUACGCCAAUGUCGCAAGACCAAAGGGGACCUUCAGGCCUGCUACCCAUCCGGAUAUUGCCGGGUUAACGUUGGUGGGGUAACGGCUCGCAAGGCGACGAUCUAGCUGGUUGAGAGAAUGACCAGCCACACACUUUGGAACUAGAACGGUCCAGACUCUACGGAGGGCAGCGGUGGGGAAUAUUGCACAAUGGAACGAAGCCUGAUGCAACCAUGCCGCGUGUAUGAAGAGAAGGCCUUCGGGUUGUAAAGGUAUAGCCCGAGGAAGGGGUAAAGUUAAUACCUUUGCUCAUUGAGCGUUACCCGCAGAAGAAGCACAAACUAACUCCAUUGCCGAGCCGCGGUAAUACGGAGGGUGCAAAGCGUUAAUCCAGUACUGGGCGUAAAGCGCACGCGAGCGAGGUUUUGUUGCAGUCAGAUCCCGGGCUCAACCUAGAAGUUCAUCUGAUACUGGCAAACUUGAGUCUCGUAGAGGGGUAAAAUUCGGUGCUUAGCGGUGAAAUGCGUAGAGAUCUGGAGAAUUACCGGUGGCGGCGGCCCACGGACGGAGCCCCAAGCCUCAGGUGCGAAAAGAAAAGCAUUAGAGACAAACAGGAUUAGAUACUGGCCCGGUAGUCCCGCACCGUAAACGAUGUCGACUUGGGUUGUGCCCUUGAAGGCGUGACGGCUUCCGGAGCUAACGCGUUAGUCGACCGCACGGGAAAUUACGGCCGCAAGGUUAAACUCAAACCGGGUGAUUGACGGGGGCCGCGGCGGUGGGCAUAAUGGUUUAAUUCGAUGCAGCGAAGAACCUUACGGUCUUGACAUCCACAGAACUUUCCAGAGAUGCGUUGGCGUUGCCUUCCGGGAACUGUGAGACAGGUGCUGCAUGGCUGUCGUCAGCUCGUGUUGUGAAAUGUUGGGUUAAGUCCCGCAACGAGCGCAACCCUUAUCCUUUGUUGCCAGCGGUCCGGCCGGGAACUCAAAGGAGACUGCCAGUGAUAAACUGGAGGAAGGUGGGGAUGACGUCAAGUCAUCAUGGCCCUUACGACCAGGGCUACACACGUGCUACAAUGGCGCAUACAAAGAGAAGCGACCUCGCGAGAGCAAGCGGACCUCAUAAAGUGCGUCGUAGUCCGGAUUGGAGUCUGCAACUCGACUCCAUGAAGUCGGAAUCGCUAGUAAUCGUGGAUCAGAAUGCCACGGUGAAUACGUUCCCGGGCCUUGUACACACCGCCCGUCACACCAUGGGAGUGGGUUGCAAAAGAAGUAGGUAGCUUAACCUUCGGGAGGGCGCUUACCACUUUGUGAUUCAUGACUGGGGUGAAGUCGUAACAAGGUAACCGUAGGGGAACCUGCGGUUGGAUCACCUCCUUACCUUAAAGAAGC
rnacentral:rRNA from 1 species